UGAAUAGUUAAAAUCUUUAAAAUUAAAAAAUUUGGCGGUAUUUUAGUCUUUUCAGAGGAACCUGUCCUAUAAUUGAUAGUCCACGAUUAGUGAUACUUAUAUUAAUAAUUUGUAUAUCGUUGUAGUUGAAUAUUUCUUUAGAAUUAAAAUGUUCGUAAUAUUUUAUAAAAUUAUAAAUCAAAUCAAGGUGCAGUUUAUAUAUAAGAAGAGAUGGGUUACAAAAUUUUUAAAUGUGGAUUUUAAAUUUAAAAUUAAAAUGAAAAUGGAUUUGAAAGUAAUUUUUUAAAUUUAUAAAAAAUG
rnacentral:rRNA from 1 species